rnacentral:rRNA from 1 species
GACAGAGGCCUCAAGCGUUAGGCGGAAUCACUGGGCUUAAAGCGUGUGUAGGCGGAUCGUUAAGUGUCUUGUGAAAUCCCACGGCUCACCCGUGGGAACUGCUGGGCAUACUGGCGAUCUUGGGCCAACUAGGGGCAACUGGAACAAGCGGUGGAGCGGUGAAAUGCGUAGAUAAUCGCUUGGAACGCCAACGGUGAAAACAGGUUGCUGGGGUUGUGCCGACGCCUGGAGAACACGGAAAGCCAGGGGAGCAAACGGG